CAACAGAGUUGUUUGAUUGAGUCUUCAUCUCGCUGCAGCUUCGCGAGUUAACAGAGAUUAGUGAUCCAUACACUCGUGAAAUGAAUGCUUAAUGUUUCAAGUCAGAGCCAUGUGAUUGUUACCUGGGACUCUGUGGUGAAUAAGCAAACUGAUCUGCUGUAUCCAAAGCAAAGUUAGGAGCUAUGCCACCGUGCACAGAAGAAGGCAGCAUCAGAAUGCUUCCCAGCAUUAGUCUCAAUCAUUAAAUCCUGGAGAAAGAGUAUGAUUUGUGCAUUAUGGGACUGUAAUUCACCUCUACCACCUUGACAGUGAUUGACACUCUCAAAUCCUACACCAAGGGUUUGGGUAGCUGUCCAAAGAGAUACAGAAGUACAACGGCUCCAAAAUGAACCAUGAGUCCAGGGCAGACAUGAGGAACAGCAUCUCCUACAAGCUCUGGAUCUUCCUUCAGGUUUUAUAGCACACAUUUGUCCAUGAGCCAGGACACAGGCAGUGCUGGCUGCGGCUGGAUGACAGAUUGAGCAUCCAAAAGAUUCUCCAACAAUUGGAAUUGAAGCCCAAAUCUAGCAAGAUGAAAUUAAAUAUGGAUUAAUGUGAAGGCCUGCACUUGUGUUCAGAGGAAGGAACAGCUGGUGGGGGCUGAGAUCAGGACGCCGGUGGUUAAUGGUAGUUUAUGUGGAAAGAUUAAAAGCUCAGAAUGUGCCAACAAUGAGAAGAUGUCCAAGAUGCUGCUG
rnacentral:lncRNA from 1 species